CCAGGAUUAGGUCAGAUAAAACACACUCAAGCUAAAGUGCACAAGGUGGAUUAUGCAAGAAAAGAGGAUUUAGUGAAGAACGGAUCCACAACUUUUUGUUAACACAGAGAAUGGUGGCUUUUAUAUGCAGCUGCUGCUGAAUGGUGAUAUGUUAAUAAGGGGAAAGCUGUUCUUAGGAAAACUGACAGACCCAGUUGAAAAUAUACUGGCUCCUAGUAGUGAAACUUUGAAGCAAGCUUUUGAGUUCUGAUUAUACUCAGUGUAGCAAGUAGUCAUGAAAGAUGGAUCUUAUCACCAUCAGAUUGUUUGGUGUUUUUGUUUUGAUCAUGCAGUUUUCCAGGCUGUUCCCAUCUGGAGGCAGCUCUCUGCUCAACUGCCGUGGAGAGUGACACAGGCAGGCGACAUCGUCACUGAACACCAACUUCUGUUAACAUCCAGGCAGACUGUGGUAUCCAUUUCAGAACCUCGGCAAGACAUAAGAGAAGCAAAGGGGUAGCCGCAAAGUUUUGGAUAAGACCUCUACAUGCAACUGGCAGCACAGUGUACCCAGGUGGUGGGUCUCGUCUGUGACAAUGUAUUUUUCUGUCUGUGCAAUUGAAUAUGUCUGUAAAGGGAAUAAAACCCCAUGUAAUCUCCAGCAGUGACAAUUUAAUCAGUUGUAUAAGGGGAAGAAACAGAGUCCUCUCAUUUUCAUAUUUGCAUAUUUGAUUUUUGCAUCGGGGAAUAGAGGUUAUGUUUUUCUAUUACUUCCCAUUCAAUUUUAGUAUUUCACUCUUUUAUGAGGAAAUUUUUACAGUGGUAGGAAAUAUUGAGUCAAAGCAGUCCAAGAGAAAGGUUCCAUUUUUGAAAUAAAAUGAGAACUUGAUGCACCAGGCUUUGUGUAAAAUUUGUUCCUACAAAGAAUCUAUAUGCCAAACAUAGUGUGCUUGCUCCCAGCUUCUGCAC